AACGAACGCUGGCGGCAUGCCUAACACAUGCAAGUCGAACGAGACCUUCGGGUCUAGUGGCGCACGGGUGCGUAACGCGUGGGAACCUGCCCUUAGGUUCGGAAUAACUCCCCGAAAGGGGUGCUAAUACCGGAUAAUGUCUUCGGACCAAAGAUUUAUCGCCUUUGGAUGGGCCCGCGUUGGAUUAGCUAGUUGGUAGGGUAAAAGCCUACCAAGGCGACGAUCCAUAGCUGGUCUGAGAGGAUGAUCAGCCACACUGGGACUGAGACACGGCCCAGACUCCUACGGGAGGCAGCAGUGGGGAAUAUUGGACGAUGGGCGAAAGCCUGAUCCAGCAAUGCCGCGUGAGUGAUGAAGGCCUUAGGGUUGUAAAGCUCUUUUACACGGGAUGAUAAUGACAGUACCGGGAGAAUAAGCUCCGGCUAACUCCGUG
rnacentral:rRNA from 1 species